GACGAACCGUGCGAACGUUGUUCGGAAUCACUGGGCUUAAAGGGCGCGUAGGCGGCUUCGCAAGUCCGGGGUGAAAGCCCCCAGCUCAACUGGGGAAGUGCCUCGGAUACUGCGGAGCUCGAGCGAGGUAGGGGUCGUGGGAACUUCCGGUGGAGCGGUGAAAUGCGUUGAUAUCGGAAGGAACGCCGGUGGCGAAAGCGCACGACUGGACCUCUCCUGACGCUGAGGCGCGAAAGCCAGGGGAGCAAACGGG
rnacentral:rRNA from 1 species